UUAGAGCGCGAAGUGGUUGAUGCCAUGCUUCCAAGAAAAGCUCCUAAGCUUCAGAUAACUGGGAACCGUACCCCAAACCGACACAGGUGGUUAGGUAGAGAAUACCAAGGCGCUUGAGAGAACUCGGGUGAAGGAACUAGGCAAAAUGGCACCGUAACUUCGGGAGAAGGUGCGCCGGCGAGGGUGAAGGACUUGCUCCGUAAGCCCAUGCCGGUCGAAGAUACCAGGCCGCUGCGACUGUUUAUUAAAAACACAGCACUCUGCAAACACGAAAGUGGACGUAUAGGGUGUGACGCCUGCCCGGUGCCGGAAGGUUAAUUGAUGGGGUUAGCGCAAGCGAAGCUCUUGAUCGAAGCCCCGGUAAACGGCGGCCGUAACUAUAACGGUCCUAAGGUAGCGAAAUUCCUUGUCGGGUAAGUUCCGACCUGCACGAAUGGCGUAACGAUGGCGGCGCUGUCUCCACCCGAGACUCAGUGAAAUUGAAAUCGCUGUGAAGAUGCAGUGUAUCCGCGGCUAGACGGAAAGACCCCGUGAACCUUUACUAUAGCUUUGCACUGGACUUUGAAUUUGCUUGUGUAGGAUAGGUGGGAGGCUUUGAAGUGGGGACGCCAGUUCUCAUGGAGCCAUCCUUGAAAUACCACCCUGGCAACUUUGAGGUUCUAACUCAGGUCCGUUAUCCGGAUCGAGGACAGUGUAUGGUGGGUAGUUUGACUGGGGCGGUCUCCUCCCAAAGAGUAACGGAGGAGUACGAAGGUGCGCUCAGACCGGUCGGAAAUCGGUCGUAGAGUAUAAAGGCAAAAGCGCGCUUGACUGCGAGACAAACACGUCGAGCAGGUACGAAAGUAGGUCUUAGUGAUCCGGUGGUUCUGUAUGGAAGGGCCAUCGCUCAACGGAUAAAAGGUACUCCGGGGAUAACAGGCUGAUACCGCCCAAGAGUUCAUAUCGACGGCGGUGUUUGGCACCUCGAUGUCGGCUCAUCACAUCCUGGGGCUGAAGCCGGUCCCAAGGGUAUGGCUGUUCGCCAUUUAAAGUGGUACGCGAGCUGGGUUUAGAACGUCGUGAGACAGUUCGGUCCCUAUCUGCCGUGGACGUUUGAGAUUUGAGAGGGGCUGCUCCUAGUACGAGAGGACCGGAGUGGACGAACCUCUGGUGUUCCGGUUGUCACGCCAGUGGCAUUGCCGGGUAGCUAUGUUCGGAAGAGAUAACCGCUGAAAGCAUCUAAGCGGGAAACUUGCCUCAAGAUGAGAUCUCACUGGAACCUUGAGUUC
rnacentral:rRNA from 1 species